ACAACCUUAAGUUAGGUGAGAUUACCCACUAAGUUUAAGCAUAUCAAUAAUUGAAGGAAAAAAAACUUACCAAGAUUCUCCUUGUAAUUGUGAGCGAACCAGAAAGGGCCCAAUUUGAAAAAUAGGUAGCCCCAGAGUCUGAAUUGUAAUCUAAAGAAGUGUCUUCAGUAAUGAAUCAAGCCCAAAUCCUUCAGAAAAAGGGCAUUGAAGAGGGUGAGAGUGUCUUUAUGCUUAGACCUUGUCACAUCAUAAGGUACUAUCUAUGAGUUAGGUUUUUUAGGAAUAUAGCCCUAAUUGAGUGGUAAAUUCCAUCCAGGGCUAAAUAUGGGCAAGAGACUGAUAGCAAACAAGUGUCACAAGGGAAAGAUGAAAAGAACUUUGAAAAGAGAGUUAAAAAGUACUUGAAAUUGUUACAAGAGAAGUGGAUGGGGGUAGGCAAUGUGCCUCAAUAGAAUGUGGAAUUACGAGAGUCGAUUCAUUGAUUGGCUUAGGACAUGGAUCUACUCAAGUUAUGGCAAUGGCCCAAGCUCGGGCUUUCUUUACACCUGUAGAGACAUCAUUGCCAUGAUCAUGAAAAGUAGCAUGUGCUACCUCGGGGUGCCUUGACACCUGUGAGCCACCAACACUACUCGUGUGCUCCUCAUCUGGCUUAUCUUGAGACUUAGAUUAAGGAGUCUAACAUGUGUGCAAGUCAAUAGGCUAGAAAACCCAUAAGGCAUAAAGAAAUUGAUUAGCAGCAUCCCUCACGGGUGCACCCCUGACUGACCUUGAUCUUUUAAUAAAGGUUUGAGGGUGAGCAUACUUGUUAGGACCCAAAAAAUGGUGAAUUAUACCUGAGAGGGUGAAGCUAAAGGAAACUUUGGUGGAUGCCUACAACAAUACUAACAUGCAAAUCAUUGGUCUAACUUAGGUAUAGAGGUGAAAGACUAAUAGAAUCAUCUAGUAGCUGGUUCCUCCAAAAGUUUCCUCAAGAUAACUAGAGCCUUUAGCGAGUUCUAUCAGGUAAAGCUAAAAAUUAAAGGCAUUGGAGGUGUAACACUCUCCACCUAUUCUCAAACUUUAAAUAGGUAGGAUGGUGUGACUACUUCAUUGAGUCACUUCAUAGAAUCAAGAGCUCUAAAUGGGCCAUUUUUGGUAAGUAUAAUUGGCAAUGUAGGGUUAACCAAAAUUCAGGUUAUGGUGCCCAACUACACACUAACUUAUAACCUAAAAGGGUGUUGGUCGAUUAAGAUAGUAGGAUGGUGGUCAUGGAAGUUGAAAUUUGCUAAGACGUGUGUAACAACUCACCUAUCGAAUCAACUAGCCUAAAAAAUUGAUAGUGCUUAAGUGCAUGACCUAUACCCAAUCGUCAGGGUAAGGACUAGGCCCUAAUGAGUAGAAAGGUGUGACAAUCACCAUAAAACUUAGGGUGCAAACCUAGGUAGAGCAAUUGUUGGUACAGAUCUUAGUGGUUGUAGCAAAUAUUUAAAUGAGAACUUUAAAGGUUGAAGAAGGGAAAGGUUUCAUAUGAACAGCCCUUGCACAUUGAUUAGUUAAUCCUACGAGAUAGGGGGCCCAUCUGACAGUAUAUCUAGCAAGAGCUUUGAAAGGGAAUCAGGAUAAUAUUCCUGAACCAAGACACGAUGGCUAACGAUAACGUUAAAAUGUCUGGAGAUGUUGAUGAAGACCUUGGGAAGAGUUACUUUUUUUGUUUAAUGGCUUGCCCACCCUAGAAAUGGCUCACUUUGAGGUAAGGUCCAAUGAUCGAAAGAGCAUCGCAUGUUGUAUGAUGUCUGAUGUACCCUCGAUGCCCCCAAUCAUACUCAUAACUACAUCAAGUCUCCAAGUUGAAUAACCUCUAGUUGAUGGAAUAAUGUAGGCAAGGGAAGUCAACAAAAUGGAUCUAUAACCUAAAAAAAAAGAUUGGCUCUGAAGGUUGGGCAUAAAGUUUUUAGUCCUAGACCUAUCGACUGCCAGUGCAUUUCUCAAGCUACUCCCAUGGUGAAAACAGGUUAUCGCGUGCUGGUUAAGGGACAGACUAAAAAUAACUCCAUCAGGGCCUUCUUCAGGUGACAAAUAAUCAACUCAAAACUAGUAUAGACAAAGGGAACUAACUAUUUAAUUAAAACAAAGCAUUGCAAUGGUCCAUGCGAAUGCUCACACGAUGUGAUUUUUGCUCAAUGCUCUAAAUGUUAAAGUGAAGAAAUUCGACCAAGAACAAGUAAAUAGUGGGAGUAACUAUGACUCUCUUAAGGUAGCUAAAUGCCUCAUCAUCUAAUUAGUGUGUGCUUGAAUGGACUAACAAGAUUCUUACUUGUCUUGUCUGCCAUCUAGUGAAACCACAACCAAGGGAAUUGGCUUGGUAGAAUCAGUGGGGAAAAAAGACCUUGUUAAGCUUAACUCUAUUUUGACUUUGUGAAAUGACUUGAGAGAUGUAGGAUAAGUGGGAGCCCACUGGUGAAAUUGUAAUACAAUUACUUUUGAUGUUAUUUUACUUAUUCCAUGAAUCAAAGACGAGGUGUGACCCUUUCUUUAGGCGUAAUGCUAGCCUUAGUCAGUUGAUCCAGGUGAAAGACAUUAUUAGGUAGGGGGUUUGGUCGACACAUCUGUUAAAAGAUAACGCAGGUGUCUUAAGAUGAGCUCAAAGAGAAUAAAAAUCUCAUGUGGAACAAAAGGGUAAAAGCUUAUUUGAUUCUGAUUUCUAGUACAAGUAUGAACCAUGAAAGCAUGGCCCAUAGAUCUUUUAGACCUUCAAAAUUUGAACCUAAAGGUGUCAGAAAAGUUACCAUAGGGAUAACUGGCUUGUGGCAAGCAAACAUUUAUAGCAACGUUACUUUUUGAUCCUUUAAUAUCAACUCUUCCUAUCAUUAUGAAGCAAAAUUCACCAAAUGUUGGAUUGUUCACCCACUAAUAAGGAACGUGAGCUGGGUUUAGACCAUCAUGAGAUAGGUUAGUUUUACCCUACUGAUGGUAGCGUAGCAAUAGUAAUUCAAUUUAGUACGAGAGGUACAAUUGAUUUGCACAAUUGGUUGAAAAGCUAGUGACAUGAAACUACCAUGCACUGGAUUAUGACUAAAUGCCUUUAAAUCAAAAUCAAGCUAGAAA
rnacentral:rRNA from 1 species